rnacentral:rRNA from 1 species
GAUGAACGCUGGCGGCGUGCCUAAUACAUGCAAGUAGAACGCUGAAGGAGGAGCUUGCUCUUCUGGAUGAGUUGCGAACGGGUGAGUAACGCGUAGGUAACCUGCCUGGUAGUGGGGGAUAACUAUUGGAAACGAUAGCUAAUACCGCAUAAUAACAGUUGUUGCAUGACAACUGUUUGAAAGGUGCAAUUGCAUCACUACCAGAUGGACCUGCGUUGUAUUAGCUAGUUGGUGGGGUAACGGCUCACCAAGGCGACGAUACAUAGCCGACCUGAGAGGGUGGACGGCCACAUUGGGACUGAGAUACGGCCCAGACUCCUACGGGAGGCAGCAGUGGGGAAUAUUGCACAAUGGGCGCAAGCCUGAUGCAGCGACGCCGCGUGGGGGAUGACGGCCUUCGGGUUGUAAACUCCUUUCGCUAGGGACGAAGCUUUUUGUGACGGUACCUAGAUAAGAAGCACCGGCUAACUACGUGCCAGCAGCCGCGGUAAUACGUAGGGUGCGAGCGUUGUCCGGAAUUACUGGGCGUAAAGGGCUCGUAGGUGGUUUGUCGCGUCGUCUGUGAAAUUCCGGGGCUUAACUCCGGGCGUGCAGGCGAUACGGGCAUAACUUGAGUACUGUAGGGGUAACUGGAAUUCCUGGUGUAGCGGUGAAAUGCGCAGAUAUCAGGAGGAACACCGAUGGCGAAGGCAGGUUACUGGGCAGUUACUGACGCUGAGGAGCGAAAGCAUGGGUAGCGAACAGGAUUAGAUACCCUGGUAGUCCAUGCCGUAAACGGUGGGCGCUAGGUGUGAGGGUCUUUUCACGACUUUCGUGCCGUAGCUAACGCAUUAAGCGCCCCGCCUGGGGAGUACGGCCGCAAGGCUAAAACUCAAAGGAAUUGACGGGGGCCCGCACAAGCGGCGGAGCAUGUGGAUUAAUUCGAUGCAACGCGAAGAACCUUACCUGGGCUUGACAUACACUGGAUCGCUGCAGAGAUGUAGUUUCCCUUUGUGGCUGGUGUACAGGUGGUGCAUGGUUGUCGUCAGCUCGUGUCGUGAGAUGUUGGGUUAAGUCCCGCAACGAGCGCAACCCUUGUCUUAUGUUGCCAGCAUUUGGUUGGGGACUCAUGAGAGACUGCCGGGGUCAACUCGGAGGAAGGUGGGGAUGACGUCAAAUCAUCAUGCCCCUUAUGUCCAGGGCUUCACACAUGCUACAAUGGUCGGUACAACGCGCAGCGACACUGUGAGGUGGAGCGAAUCGCUGAAAGCCGGCCUUAGUUCGGAUUGGGGUCUGCAACUCGACCCCAUGAAGUCGGAGUCGCUAGUAAUCGCAGAUCAGCAAUGCUGCGGUGAAUACGUUCCCGGGCCU